GAUGAACGCUGGCGGCGUGCCUAAUACAUGCAAGUCGAGCGAACAGACGAGGAGCUUGCUCCUCUGACGUUAGCGGCGGACGGGUGAGUAACACGUGGAUAACCUACCUAUAAGACUGGGAUAACUUCGGGAAACCGGAGCUAAUACCGGAUAAUAUAUUGAACCGCAUGGUUCAAUAGUGAAAGACGGUUUUGCUGUCACUUAUAGAUGGAUCCGCGCCGCAUUAGCUAGUUGGUAAGGUAACGGCUUACCAAGGCAACGAUGCGUAGCCGACCUGAGAGGGUGAUCGGCCACACUGGAACUGAGACACGGUCCAGACUCCUACGGGAGGCAGCAGUAGGGAAUCUUCCGCAAGGGGCGAAAGCCUGACGGAGCAACGCCGCGUGAGUGAUGAAGGUCUUCGGAUCGUAAAACUCUGUUAUUAGGGAAGAACAAAUGGGUAAGUAACUAUGCACGUCUUGACGGUACCUAAUCAGAAAGCCACGGCUAACUACGUG
rnacentral:rRNA from 1 species